rnacentral:rRNA from 1 species
AUUGAACGCUGGCGGCAGGCCUAACACAUGCAAGUCGAACGAGUGGCGGACGGGUGAGUAAUGUCUGGGAAACUGCCUGAUGGAGGGGGAUAACUACUGGAAACGGUAGCUAAUACCGCAUACUAUCGGAUGAACCCAGAUGGGAUUAGCUAGUAGGUGGGGUAAAGGCUCACCUAGGCGACGAUCUCUAGCUGGUCUGAGAGGAUGACCAGCCACACUGGGACUGAGACACGGCCCAGACUCCUACGGGAGGCAGCAGUGGGGAAUAUUGCACAAUGGGCGCAAGCCUGAUGCAGCCAUGCCGCGUGUAUGAAGAAGGCCUUCGGGUUGUAAAGUACUUUCAGCGGGGAGGCGUUACCCGCAGAAGAAGCACCGGCUAACUCCGUGCCAGCAGCCGCGGUAAUUC